UACAGAGGGGCAAGCGUUGUUCGGAAUUACUGGGCGUAAAGGGCGCGUAGGCGGCCUUCUAAGUCGAACGUGAAAUCCCCGGGGCUCAACCCGGGAACUGCGUCCGAUACUGGAAGGCUUGAAUCCGGGAGAGGGAUGCGGAAUUCCAGGUGUAGCGGUGAAAAUGCGUAGAUAUCUGGAGGAACACCGGUGGCGAAGGCGGCAUCCUGGGACCGGCAUUGAC
rnacentral:rRNA from 1 species